rnacentral:rRNA from 1 species
GAUGAACGCUGGCGGCGUGCCUAAUACAUGCAAGUCGAGCGAACGGACGAGAAGCUUGCUUCUCUGAUGUUAGCGGCGGACGGGUGAGUAACACGUGGAUAACCUACCUAUAAGACUGGGAUAACUUCGGGAAACCGGAGCUAAUACCGGAUAAUAUUUUGAACCGCAUGGUUCAAAAGUGAAAGGCGGUCUUGCUGUCACUUAUAGAUGGAUCCGCGCUGCAUUAGCUAGUUGGUAAGGUAACGGCUUACCAAGGCAACGAUGCAUAGCCGACCUGAGAGGGUGAUCGGCCACACUGGAACUGAGACACGGUCCAGACUCCUACGGGAGGCAGCAGUAGGGAAUCUACCGCAAUGGGCGAAAGCCUGACGGAGCAACGCCGCGUGAGUGAUGAAGGUCUUCGGAUCGUAAAACUCUGUUAUUAGGGAAGAACAUAUGUGUAAGUAACUGUGCACAUCUUGACGGUACCUAAUCAGAAAGCCACGGCUAACUACGUG